rnacentral:rRNA from 1 species
AUGAACGCUGGCGGCGCGCCUAAUACAUGCAAGUCGAGCGAACAGACGAGGAGCUUGCUCCUCUGACGUUAGCGGCGGACGGGUGAGUAACACGUGGAUAACCUACCUAUAAGACUGGGAUAACUUCGGGAAACCGGAGCUAAUACCGGAUAAUAUAUUGAACCGCAUGGUUCAAUAGUGAAAGACGGUUUUGCUGUCACUUAUAGAUGGAUCCGCGCCGCAUUAGCUAGUUGGUAAGGUAACGGCUUACCAAGGCAACGAUGCGUAGCCGACCUGAGAGGGUGAUCGGCCACACUGGAACUGAGACACGGUCCAGACUCCUACGGGAGGCAGCAGUAGGGAAUCUUCCGCAAAGGGCGAAAGCCUGACGGAGCAACGCCGCGUGAGUGAUGAAGGUCUUCGGAUCGUAAAACUCUGUUAUUAGGGAAGAACAAAUGUGUAAGUAACUAUGCACGUCUUGACGGUACCUAAUCAGAAAGCCACGGCUAACUACGUG